GACGAACACUGGCGGCGUGCUUAACACAUGCAAGUCGAACGGAAAGGCCCUGCUUUUGUGGGGUGCUCGAGUGGCGAACGGGUGAGUAACACGUGAGUAACCUGCCCUUGACUUUGGGAUAACUUCAGGAAACUGGGGCUAAUACCGGAUAGGAGCUCCUGCUGCAUGGUGGGGGUUGGAAAGUUUCGGCGGUUGGGGAUGGACUCGCGGCUUAUCAGCUUGUUGGUGGGGUAGUGGCUUACCAAGGCUUUGACGGGUAGCCGGCCUGAGAGGGUGACCGGCCACAUUGGGACUGAGAUACGGCCCAGCCUCCUACGGGAGGCAGCAGUGGGGAAUAUUGCACAAUGGGCGGAAGCCUGAUGCAGCAACGCCGCGUGCGGGAUGACGGCCUUCGGGUUGUAAACCGCUUUCGCCUGUGACGAAGCGUGAGUGACGGUAAUGGGUAAAGAAGCACCGGCUAACUACGUG
rnacentral:rRNA from 1 species